UCGCAUGGCCCCAUACAGACACCCUCAAGCUGGGGGCCACUUCCAGGGCAUGAUGGUCCCCCAGAGAAGCGUGGUGCCUGAACACUACCUUCACCCUGGGCAGCAGGGGAUGUGUGCCGGGUCGCCCAGGGAUCACAGCGGCAAGCAGGGCGUGUGAACAGUCCAUGGGGAAGUGAGGAGCCGGAGCUCUGCGGCAUACGGCCCCACCGUGGCUUUUACCGCACGCCGAGUGAGUGGAAGUGAAUGUGGCGGAGCUGCCUGCCUGUGUGCAUGCGUGUGGAACGGCCCGAGCCAUCAAGCAGGACACACAGCCUGUCUUUACUGCAUCUAGAGAGAUUUACCUGUGUUUUACUCCCCGCGGGAGCAUCUGUUUGCUGUUGAAAGCCAGCCGUCAGUCCAGCACCCCUCCAACACUGGAACGGCUCUGUGGUCACACUCAGGUCCACGGCAGCUGGUACUUCUGCGACUGCAGUGAGUUUCUGCCGUAUCUGAAGCGCCGAACCCCAGCCUCUUGGCCUUUUGUGUACUUGUUGAAUGUAUGAAUGAUAUAUUGGCAGCAUGGGGCCCCUGUGUGGGUGCUCGGGGGGGGCCCUGUGUGGGCGCUCGGGGGGGCCCCUGUGCUGCCUUGCCUUAUUUUGACACAGCUGUGGUGUCCCUCCAAUUUUGCCUUCACUGUAAAAACGUUAAAUCCGCCUGCUUCUGGGUACUGCACUGGAUUAUGAUACUUCAGAUACUGGAAUUAGUGGCCUUGGAUUUAUUUAUUUUCUAUCUUUCGUUCGACGCUCUGUAUAUACAGCGUACAACGUUAGUGUUUAUCUCUUCAGUUAAGGUGUACAAGUGACCAUAGACUACAUUUUACAUUGUCUUACAUGCAUUGAACUCUGUGUCCCUGGCGUGUUCUGCUUAGGUUUUUAAACUGUGUCUUUUUAAACUCUUGUAGCUGCUUGUAUGAUACAUGCACAUUUCAUUUAGGGUUAGUCAUAGUGAGUAGAUUUUUGCAAGCAAACACCCGCUUUUUUGAAGCUGAAAGUCCUCAGGGUAUAGUGUUAAUACGGGUAUUUUAAAAUGACUUAUUUGAUGAGUAACUCCACAUCAGUUCAUGCUGACGAGGUCCUGCUGGAUUGUGUGUAUGUAUGUGUUUGUAUAUAAAAUUUUAUAUAUAUAUAUCUUCAGUCUACUGCGAAGAUGACUGCUGUCUUCACUGGACGCUUGGUUGCGGUCUCUCUGCUCUGUAAAAAUCUGGGGAGUUUCAAAGGUUUGGAGGUGGUAUUCUGACUGCUGGAGAGCAGGGAGGGGCAACGUAUCCUGGUUUAGGAGGACGAGGACUUCUCGAGGCGAACCGCUGCAUGGAGUGCUUCUCCAGGAUCUGUCUGUGGCGGACCUCAGACGACUCCAUGGUCUGGGAGUUUUUACUUUUCGUGUUUAAGUUACUGUGCUGUUAAUGAUCAUUUCUGGACUAUGGCGAUCCCUCCAUGGCAUUUUCAUCUACCUCAGAGGGUUUCCGGCUCUCUCGCUUAUCGCCCUGCCCCCAUUCCCACCCUCGACCUCCUUGGCUCCACAGCCGCCCUGAUCCACUCACCCCACCCCCCCACCCCCCCUUGCUCAUGCAGGUGCCACAGGGUUUGAGCCAAGCCUGGCAAAGGAGUGUCAGUUGUUCGAAGUAUUUGAGGAUUCCUAGGACUUCAAAAUGAUAACUCAGAGGGAGAGCUACAGUUUCUGUACCUGUGAACAGACGUUCCUUUGUUGCGGAGUAAAGCAAGAUGACGGAAACAUUCAGAGCCAUCCAUCAUACAAUCUUUUUUUUUAAAGCAAUAGUUGUUAUUGGAGGUAAGUAUGAAGGACAUCAGCAUUGAAAUUGAGUUUCUGCUGCCACAUGGUGGACAGAGUGGGUAUAACACCCAGGAGCCUGCCGUCAGAGUUCUGUGUAUUCAUCUUCCACUGCUGUUGUCUGGUUUGUCUGCACUAGGAAAUGCUAGACUGGAUUUAAUGUGAAACAUAUUUAUUUGUUCCUUAUAUUUUGUACAUUUGGACUUGUUCUUAAUAUAAAUGUGACUCUCGUUCAGUCAACAUUUACCUCAGUAGUAGGAUGAAAACACAAAAUCCCAUCUUUCCUGUGAUGUUUACGAGUUCUUGACUGACAUAGAUUAUUUUGGAAAUGGACUGAAGUAUUUUCUAAACUGUACAUUUCUUAGAAUAAAUAACUUUUACACAA